rnacentral:rRNA from 1 species
GACGAACGCUGGCGGCGUGCUUAACACAUGCAAGUCGAGGGACCGGCGCACGGGUGAGUAACGCGUAUCCAACCUGCCCAUAACUAAGGGAUAACCCAGCGAAAGUUGGACUAAUACCUAAUGGUUAUGGAUGGGGAUGCGUCUGAUUAGCUUGUUGGCGGGGUAACGGCCCACCAAGGCAACGAUCAGUAGGGGUUAUGAGAGGGAGGUCCCCCGCAUUGGAACUGAGACACAGUCCAAACUCCUACGGUCGGCAGCAGUGAGUAAUAUUGGUCAAUGGACGCAAGUCUGAACCAGCCAAGUAGCUUGCAGGAUGACGGCCUAUGGGUUGUAAACUGCUUUUAUAUGGGGAUAGGUACCAUAUGAAUAAGGACCGGCUAAUUCCGUGCCAGCCGCCGCGGUAAUAC